rnacentral:misc_RNA from 1 species
GAUGAAGAACGUAGCGAAAUGCGAUACUUGGUGUGAAUUGCAGAAUCCCGUGAACCAUCGAGUCUUUGAACGCAAGUUGCGCCUCAAGCCAUUAGGUUGAGGGCACGUCUGCCUGGGCGUCACAUAUCGUUGCCUGAUGCCAGUUUUCUCGUGAUGGGUGACUGUGCAGGGCGAAUGAUGGCUUCCCGUGAGCAUUGUUGCCUCAUGGUUGGUUGAAAAUUGAGUCCUUGGUAGGGAGCGCCGUGAUAGAUGGUGGUUGAGUGACGAACGAGACCCAAUCAUGUGAGACCCCUACCGAAUUUGGCCUUCAUGACCCACAUGCGUCUUUGGAACGCUCAUGACGAGACCUCAGGUCAGGCGGGGCUACCCGCUGAGUUUAAGCAUAUCAAUAAGCGGAGGA